CCUACGGGAGGCAGCAGUAGGGAAUCUUCCGCAAUGGACGAAAGUCUGACGGAGCAACGCCGCGUGAACGAUGAAGGCCUUCGGGUCGUAAAGUUCUGUUGUUAGGGAAGAACAAGUGCUAGUUAAAUAAGCUGGCACCUUGACGGUACCUAACCAGAAAGCCACGGCUAACUACGUGCCAGCAGCCGCGGUAAUACGUAGGUGGCAAGCGUUGUCCGGAAUUAUUGGGCGUAAAGCGCGCGCAGGCGGUUUCUUAAGUCUGAUGUGAAAGCCCCCGGCUCAACCGGGGAGGGUCAUUGGAAACUGGGAAACUUGAGUGCAGAAGAGGAAAGUGGAAUUCCAAGUGUAGCGGUGAAAUGCGUAGAGAUUUGGAGGAACACCAGUGGCGAAGGCGACUUUCUGGUCUGUAACUGACGCUGAGGCGCGAAAGCGUGGGGAGCAAACAGGAUUAGAUACCCUGGUAGUCCACGCUGUAAACGAUGAGUGCUAAGUGUUAGAGGGUUUCCGCCCUUUAGUGCUGAAGUUAACGCAUUAAGCACUCCGCCUGGGGANCGGUCGCAAGCUGAAACUCAAAGGAUUGACGGNUGAGAGNGCGACGCGACGACGAGGGAGAGG
rnacentral:rRNA from 1 species